rnacentral:rRNA from 1 species
AGUGAACGCUGGCGGUAGGCCUAACACAUGCAAGUCGAACGGCAGCACAGUAAGAGCUUGCUCUUACGGGUGGCGAGUGGCGGACGGGUGAGGAAUACAUCGGAAUCUACUUUUUCGUGGGGGAUAACGUAGGGAAACUUACGCUAAUACCGCAUACGACCUACGGGUGAAAGCAGGGGAUCUUCGGACCUUGCGCGAUUGAAUGAGCCGAUGUCGGAUUAGCUAGUUGGCGGGGUAAAGGCCCACCAAGGCGACGAUCCGUAGCUGGUCUGAGAGGAUGGUCAGGCACACUGGAAAUGAGACACGGUCCAGACUCCUAAGGGAGGCAGGAGGGGGGAAUAUUUGACAAAGGGCGGAAGGCUGAUCCCGCCAUACCGGGUUGGUGGAGAAGGCCUUCGGGGUUUAAAGCCCCUUUGUUGGGAAAGAAAAGCAGCAGGUUAAUACCCCGCUGUUCUGACGGUACCCAAAGAAUAAGCACCGGCUAACUUCGUG